rnacentral:rRNA from 1 species
CCUACGGGAGGCUGCAGUGGGGAAUAUUGCACAAUGGGGUAAACCCUGAUGCAGCAACGCCGCGUGAGUGAAGAAGUAUUUCGGUAUGUAAAGCUCUAUCAGCAGGGAAGAAAAUGACGGUACCUGAUUAAGAAGCCCCGGCUAACUACGUGCCAGCAGCCGCGGUAAUCCGUAGGUGGCAAGCGUUAUCCGGAUUUACUGGGUGUAAAGGGAGCGUAGACGGCAGCACAAGUCUGGAGGGAAAUGCCGGGGCUUAACCCCGGAACUGCUUUGGAAACUGUGCAGCUAGAGUGCAGGAGAGGUAAGUGGAAUUCCUAGUGUAGCGGUGAAAUGCGUAGAUAUUAGGAGGAACACCAGUGGCGAAGGCGGCUUACUGGACUGUAACUGACGUUGAGGCUCGAAAGCGUGGGGAGCGAACAGGAUUAGAUACCCUUGUAGUC